rnacentral:rRNA from 1 species
UGGGGAAUUUUGGACAAUUGGGCGAAAGCCUGAUCCAGCAAUGCCGCGUGUGUGAAGAAGGCCUUCGGGUUGUAAAGCACUUUUGUCCGGAAAGAAAUCCUUGGCUCUAAUACAGUCGGGGGAUGACGGUACCGGAAGAAUAAGCACCGGCUAACUACGUGCCAGCAGCCGCGGUAAUACGUAGGGUGCAAGCGUUAAUCGGAAUUACUGGGCGUAAAGCGUGCGCAGGCGGUUUGCUAAGACCGAUGUGAAAUCCCCGGGCUCAACCUGGGAACUGCAUUGGUGACUGGCAGGCUAGAGUAUGGCAGAGGGGGGUAGAAUUCCACGUGUAGCAGUGAAAUGCGUAGAGAUGUGGAGGAAUACCGAUGGCGAAGGCAGCCCCCUGGGCAAUACUGACGCUCAUGCACGAAAGCGUGGGGAGCAAACAGGAUUAGAUACCCUGGUAGUCCACGCCCUAAACGAUGUCAACUAGUUGUUGGGGAUUCAUUUCCUUAGUAACGUAGCUAACGCGUGAAGUUGACCGCCUGGGGAGUACGGUCGCAAGAUUAAAACUCAAA